rnacentral:misc_RNA from 1 species
GCACGCACCGUCUUGCCGGUUGUUUUUCCUCUUUUUCAUCUGUGCUCUCUUUGCUCUUGACUCUCUCUUUUCUAAAAACUUCGUUUAGUGCGCCGUUACAGGCCUCCCCCUCUCCACCCACACGUGCAUCGCUUAUCAUUCCCCGCCUAUAGCACCAUGCCCAACGUCUCCCUCACGCAGCGGGUCACAGCCUUCAACGACUACGUUGGCAAUGCGUCAAACCGCGACCGUGUCAUGUCGGUCGUGCAGUUCGGUGCGAUGGCCCUGGUGGCCCCCGCCGCCGCCGCCGGUUGCCCGGAGCUGUCCGCGCACUUUGACACGAUCCUCCACGGCGCCGCGCACUACCGCACCGUCACCCGCUUCUCGCAGUGGCUCGUCGUUGCCCCGGCCCUCACUCCCAGCGGCAUCAAGAGCGUCAUCGCAAGCCAUCCCAACCCACUCGUGGGCAUCUGCAAGACCAUUUCCACCGCCUUCUUUACCGUCUUCCUCAUUGGCGAGGAGCUCGUACUGGCGUCCAAGUGCAAUAUGCUCGACCCCGUCUUCGGCAGGCACUUCAACCGCAUUCGUUUUGUCUUUCUUUUCUGGUCAAACAUCGCGCGUCUCGUCAUGAACUAUCUUCUACUGAAGAGCAGCAAGUACGACGCCGUCAAGGACAGUCAGAACGAGGAGAAGGCAAAGGACCACCGCCGCAAGGUGCUUAACGUGGCGGACGGCGUGCUUCAGAGCAUGUUCUGCUACACCCUUCUCAAGAGCUCCGCGCCGGCGGGCCCCAAGUACCUCAGUGCUGCCCUCCGGUCGGGCAAAGCGGUGGACAUCAUCACCUCCCUUGCCCCGCCGCUAUUCGUGGUACCCAGCACCCCGCAGGGUAUGCUCGGCCUCGCGGCCUCUGUCCCUGGCUUCAUGAUGAGCGUUUUAUAAGCGUGCAUGCCUUCUCAGAAGCGUACACGGGAGAAUACAGGAGUAAAAGGAGGGUGAAGGACGCUGGAAGAGAGGGGGGAAUGAAUGGGUGUAGCACGGAGGUGCCGCCUUUGUGGCGCCUUUUUUUUCCUUCCUGUGACCGGCACAUCUGCGUGAGCGAGCAACGAGAGUCAGCACACGUCGGCUGAAAGGAGUCCGACCUCGCGCUAUCCAUUGAGUCAUGCAGAGGUCAGGAGAGCAGCGUGCGCGCGGCUCCUCAACAGCUCUUCCCUCCCCGUGCAACAAGCACACCCGUUGUCUCCAUCUCGUUUCUUAUGGGUGUCUUCUCGGGGCUCUGCCGUGGGAGAUCUGCGAAUGCAGACAGUUGCGAACGGUAACGCUCGUACGCCUGAUGUGUAUUUGUGUGCGAGCGCAGCCUGAAUCACGUAGGCAAAUACGCGCUGCUCUAUCGCCUGCGACCACCGGGCGAGAAGGUGCUCUGCGGCCGUGAGACAAGGCGCCACAGCCCUGUACAUCUCCUCUUCCUCACUGGCGACCAGUAAUGCCUCUUUCUGAUCUGUGUUUCUUCACGGCGCCUAUGCUUUCGUUGGCCUUCUUUCACCGCUACUCACUUCCUCCAGC